rnacentral:rRNA from 1 species
GGAAAACUUACCAGGUCAAAACUAUGGCGGGAUUGACAGAUUGAUAGCUCUUUCUUGAUUCGUGGGGUGGUGGUGCAUGGCCGUUCUUAGUUGGUGGAGUGAUUUGUCUGGUUAAUUCCGUUAACGAACGAGACCUUAACCUACUAAAUAGUUUGCAAUCUCACCGAUUGCAAUUCUUCUUAGAGGGACUGGCGACUCUUAGUCGCACAAGAUUGAGCAAUAA